UGCAGUCGAACGAAGUAGCAAUACUUAGUGGCAGACGGGUGAGUAACAUGUAGGUAUCUGCCCUUUGGCCUGGAAUAACACGAGGAAACUUGUGCUAAUACCGGAUAAGUCUUUACGGAGAAAGCUUUAUGCACCAUUGGAUGAGCCUGCACUUGAUUAGUUUGUUGGUGGGGUAAUGGCCUACCAAGACUGUGAUCAAUAGCUGAUUUGAGAGGAUGAUCAGCCACAUUGGGACUGAGACACGGCCCAAACUCCUACGGGAGGCAGCAGUGGGGAAUCUUGCACAAUGGAGGAAACUCUGAUGCAGCGAUGCCGCGUGAGUGAAGAAGGCCCUUGGGUUGUAAAGCUCUUUCGUCGGGGAAGAAAAUGACUGUACCCGAAUAAGAAGGUCCGGCUAACUUCGUGCCAGCAGCCGCGGUAAUACGAAGGGACCUAGCGUAGUUCGGAAUUACUGGGCUUAAAGAGUUCGUAGGUGGUUGAAAAAGUUAGUGGUGAAAUCCCAGAGCUUAACUCUGGAACUGCCAUUAAAACUUUUCAGCUAGAGUAUGAUAGAGGAAAGCAGAAUUUCUAGUGUAGAGGUGAAAUUCGUAGAUAUUAGAAAGAAUACCAAUUGCGAAGGCAGCUUUCUGGAUCAUUACUGACACUGAGGAACGAAAGCAUGGGUAGCGAAGAGGAUUAGAUACCCUCGUAGUCCAUGCCGUAAACGAUGUGUGUUAGACGUUGGAAAUUUAUUUUCAGUGUCGCAGGGAAACCGAUAAACACACCGCCUGGGGAGUACGACCGCAAGGUUAAAACU
rnacentral:rRNA from 1 species